AGGGGUGUAGCUCAAUUUGGUAGAGCACUGGUCUCCAAAACCAGCGGUUGAGCGUUCGAGUCGCUCCGCCCCUG
rnacentral:tRNA from 1 species